GGAGUGGGUGGCUGGAGAGGUAGUGAUUGGCGUCAAGAAAAUCCAAUCAUAAAUGGAGAAGGGGGAUGGUCUAGCGGGGGCGCGUUAAUGGGUACCUCGGCCAGUCCCAGACACAUCCGGGUCUUCGACAGCCCAUUAAGUGUCGGGGGUCAAAAAAUUGCUUUAGGCUGCAGCUUUACCUUGUAGACGUUUUGGUCCCCUGGCAGCCGCCGUACCACCUAGUCUCUCAAAUCUGUGAUUCUCCUUUGGCAGGCUCUCAUUCUUUCACGUCUAAAGAUGGAGACUGAGAACGGCGCUGGGCUCUAUAUUUGGGUGGAGGGAUGUGAGGCAGCUGUCUAUGAUUUGCCUCAUGCUCCAGCAGAGGUGUGAUUUCCCCAGCUGCAGACAGUUUCUGAAGUUGUGUGACAUGUGAAAUUCUGGGAAGUUUCCAGAGGGUCCAUGAAUGUUUGGACCCUAAGCUGUAAGGUUGGUGGUUACGGGUUAUCUGGGGGCAGGGGAUUGCUAUUUAUCAGUCAUGCUCAAAGAGGAAACAGAAGGAAACUAGAUUCAAGGGUCUCUCUCUCUCUCUCUCUCUCUCUCUCUCUCUCUCUCUCCCUCUCUCUCUCUCUCUCUCUCUCUCUCUCUCUCUCUCUCUCUCUCACGCGCGCGCGCGCCCCUAUCCUUCUUCCUGAUCUAGUGAUGAAACAGGAGGACAAAAAGGGUGGGAAAAAGAAGUCAUAAAGACCAGCUACAGCCAUUCUUACAAGACUAUGAGAAAGCAUGCGGCUGGGCAGUGGUGGUGCCCAGCACUUUUUACUCCAAGCACUCAGGAGGCAGAAGCAGGCAGAUCUCUAAGUUCAAGGCCAAACUGGUCUUCAAGGUGAGUUCAAGGCCAGCCAGGACUAUACAGAGCAACUUUGACUUGACAACCGAAAAAAAAAAUUAUGGGGCUCAGCAGUUAAGAGCACUGACUGCUCUUCCAGAGGUCCUGAGUUCAAUUCCCAGCUACCACAUGGUGGCUCACAGCCAUCUGUAAUGAGAUCUGAUGCCCUCUUCUGGUGUGUCUGAACAGCUACAGUGUACUCAUAUACAUAAAAAUUAAUAAAAAAAAUUUAAAAAUUAUGUGAAACAUGGUACAACACAAUACUAACCUGAAAAGGGAGCAUAAGCACUAAGCGAAUGCCCUCCAACAAAAUAAAGCCAGGCCAUGGGCCUUCUGUUAGAAGCAGUCAAGCUCUAAGGAAGGAAACCGAAGGAGACCACCAUUUUGAUGGCCACGACUGUAGUUGUAGUGGACAUGAAUUUUGUCCUGUACAAACUCUGGCUUUGUUUGAUUUGGUUUGAUGUUUUUUUCAGUUUUUGUUUCUAAUCUCCUUAUAUACCCCUGGUUGGCUUUGAACUUGUUACUUUCUGACCCGGCUUCCCCAGUACCCAGCUGUUUUCUUUGUGAAACCAACUUUUUUUAAAUUGAAAUUAUUUUUUUCACACAAUAUAUUCUAAUCAUGAUUCUCCCUCCCCCAACUCCUCCAAGAUCCUUCCUACCCACCCAGAUCCACAGUCUUUCUUUUCAUUAGACUUACUUGCCAUUUUGUUUUGUUUUUUUUCUUUUUUUCAGAGCUGGGGACCGAACCCAGGGCCUUGCGCUUGCUAGGCAAGCGCUCUACCACUGAGCUAAAUCCCCAACCCUUUUCUUUUCAUUAGAAAACAGGCAUCUAAAAUUAAAAACAACAGGACCAAACCCAAAGAGGAAAGAGCCAAAGGAAAACUAGAAACAUAGACACAGAAACAAACACACCCCCUCACAGAAACCCCAGAAAAACACGGACACAGAAUUGGGAACUAUAACAUAAACAAAAGAGAUGGGCUGGAGAGAUGGCUCAGAGGUUAAGAGCACUGACUGCUCUUCCAGAGGUCCUGAGUUCAAUUCCCAGCAACCACAUGGUGGCUCACAACCAUCUGUAAUGGGGUCUGAUGCCCUCUUCUGGUGUGUCUGAAGAUAGUGACAGUGCACUCACAUAUAUAAAGUAAAUAAACCUGGGGGGUUGGGGAUUUAGCUCAGUGGUAGAGCGCCUGCCUAGCAAGCACAAGGCCCUGGGUUCAGUCCCCAGCUCCGGAAAAAAAAAAAAAACUUUAAAAAAAAAAAAGAUAUAAGUGUAAAAUAAAAAUGACCAACAGCAAGGCAUGGUGGCACACACCUUUAAUCCCAUCACUUGAGAAGCAAUGACAAGCGGAUCUCUUUGUUCAAGACCAGCCUGGUCUACAUAAGGAGUUCCAGGACAACCAGAGCUACACUGAGAAACCCUGUCUUGGAAAACCGAAGAAACAAGCAAAAAAAAAAAAAAAAAAAAAAAAAAAAAAAAAAAAAAAAAAACAGAUAAA